rnacentral:rRNA from 1 species
GGACCGGGGCGGGUGCUAUAAUGCAGUCGAGCGAAUGAUGAGGAGCUUGCUCCUCUGAUUUAGCGGCGGACGGGUGAGUAACACGUGGGUAAUCUGCCUGUAAGACGGGGAUAACUCCGGGAAACCGGGGCUAAUACCGGAUAAUAAGAGAAGAAGCAUUUCUUCUUUUUGAAAGUCGGUUUCGGCUGACACUUACAGAUGAGCCCGCGGCGCAUUAGCUAGUUGGUGAGGUAACGGCUCACCAAGGCGACGAUGCGUAGCCGACCUGAGAGGGUGAUCGGCCACACUGGGACUGAGACACGGCCCAGACUCCUACGGGAGGCAGCAGUAGGGAAUCUUCGGCAAUGGGCGAAAGCCUGACCGAGCAACGCCGCGUGAGCGAUGAAGGCCUUCGGGUCGUAAAGCUCUGUUGUUAGAGAAGAACAAGUACGAGAGUAACUGCUCGUACCUUGACGGUACCUAACCAGAAAGCCACGGCUAACUACGUGCCAGCAGCCGCGGUAAUACGUAGGUGGCAAGCGUUAUCCGGAAUUAUUGGGCGUAAAGCGCGCGCAGGCGGUCUCUUAAGUCUGAUGUGAAAGCCCACGGCUCAACCGUGGAGGGUCAUUGGAAACUGGGAGACUUGAGUGCAGGAGAGAAAAGUGGAAUUCCACGUGUAGCGGUGAAAUGCGUAGAGAUGUGGAGGAACACCAGUGGCGAAGGCGGCUUUUUGGCCUGUAACUGACGCUGAGGCGCGAAAGCGUGGGGAGCAAACAGGAUUAGAUACCCUGGUAGUCCACGCCGUAAACGAUGAGUGCUAGGUGUUGGGGGGUUCCACCCUCAGUGCUGAAGUUAACACAUUAAGCACUCCGCCUGGGGAGUACGACCGCAAGGUUGAAACUCAAAGGAAUUGACGGGGGCCCGCACAAGCAGUGAGCAUGUGGUUUAAUUCGAAGCAACGCGAAGAACCUUACCAGGUCUUGACAUCCUUUGACCACUCUAGAGAUAGAGCUUUCCCCUUCGGGGGACAAG